rnacentral:lncRNA from 1 species
GAGUCUUAGAUAUGUAUAAGGAACAAUGCCUGAAGAGUGCAGCUUUGAGCAAAAUUUCACUGCCCCCUAAUACUCAUAGUAAAUCCAGAUAUCUUCAAAUCUAAUUUGCCACAAGGAUUUAAUUUUAGUUCCACUGCUAAUCUCUUAGGUAAAGGUUUUCUGUGAUCCUUGGUUGUACAGAGUCCUAACUGAGGAUUUACUUUUACUCUUGACAACUAUAAGUUACUCUGUAAGUAGUGCAGUGGAAACUUUGCUGCCAGAACUUGGACUCACUGAACAGACAUUUUGUUCUGAAUCACAAAAAUAAGAAUGAUGGAUGCCCUUUUUGCAAAUAGGACUUUUAUGUAAUUUAUAUUUACAGUCUUCAGUUUUAAAUCUGCAGCUACAUUUCCCACAUCGUCCUCUUUCUUCUAUGCGCCUAAUCCUACUGUGACGGCCUUGGUAUUUACUGCAUUUAGUUGACAAAUGUCCCCCAUCACAGAACACGCACCUGAUAUCAGAAUCGGAACUAGAAGGCUCAGCAACUGCAAGCUCUGACUGUCUUAUUUCUCCUGGGCCCAUUUGAAUUUCAGGUGCUUCUCUACUUAAGAAUGUUCAACUUCCAAACUUUCAGAAAUACAAACAUCAUCACAGGCUAUAUUAAAGGGUAUAGCUGUACUAAAUAUCCAUAAUCUUUUAAUUUUUUACAAUAUGUUUGGUAUCUACAAGAGUAAAGUUGGACUUGCAAACAAUUGGACUUACAAACAAGCCUCAGGAACGUAACUCGUUCGUAAGUACAGGAGCACCAGUACUUUUGUUUCUUGCUUUAUGGGCCAGGAUACUUUUUUAAUUUUCUUUUCCUUAUCCUUCUCUAAUUUACCUUUCUCAUGACUAUGAUUCUUUGCUUCUAAAUGAUUAAUCACAAGGAUUAAGUUAUUUCUAAUUUCUUCUAGAGAAGGAUAAUCAAAUUGAGCUAUUAUAAUUGGAGUGACUCUGUCUUAUUUGGCAACUUUUCUGUGAGUAUAAAAGCCAAAUGAAUGUUUAACACAGUCGCCAUUUGCUUAUAUUCCCGGGUUCACCAUAGCAACAGAGAUGCUACCUCCGCUGAUUCCUAGCAACACUCCCCACACGCCCCACCUCCUCCCACUCCCCCACUGAGCCAGUUAACUUGUGUGCAAAGAAAUAUAUAUUCCCUUUGUGUUUGCCCAUAGGACAAUUGUUUCUCUUACUGUUUUUACAAUAUGUAUGUAAGAUGGUGUGUGCAUGUAACUGGUGGUUACAGUGACGAGUCUAACCUAGCUGCAAUGCUGCCAGCAAUGUUAACAGAUGCAAAUGUGAAAAGAAAGUUAUCUGUAAAUCUUCAUGUAGAUCUGGUAUUUGCAGAUUUAAAAAUAAAUGUUGCAGCUAUGGUAUUACUGUAGUAGUUUGUAAUGCAUGUAAGAAUUCAGAAAUAGCUACUGCUUGGCUACCUCUGAGGAGUUGGGUGUCUACCUUACUUACAUAAAUCAUUUAAGGUUAUCAUUACAGUAUUAGUUCAGUACAUGAAGUUAUAAAUCAAGCUUUUAUAUUUUCAAUAUUUAAUUUUUUAAUUAAUUGAAAAUAAUAAUAAUGUGUUUAAGUAGAAUUUAGCCUACUGGGGGAUUCAUUAGCUUAUGGGAGACCUCAAUUUUACAUAUAGGGGGCAGGCAGAUUUUUUUUUAGCUAUUUUUCAGACAAAAAAUUACAUCUUAAGUGCCAUAAAAUGCAGUAAUUCAUGAUGUAUCUUGGAUGUAUCCAAGCAUGAUUUUGAUACUGAAUGUGGUGUUAUUUUUGUUUUAGGUAAAUACUUUGCUGACUUUGAGAUCCCCGAGGAGCUGGAAAACCUCUGGCGGUACAUGUUCCAUAUGUAUCAAUUGGAUGCCUUCACACAGUCCUGCCCAGCUGAUCAGGACAUCAUUAACCACUACAAACAACAGCAGGGCACAAGGAUGAAGAAGCAUGAAGAACUGGAGACGCCAACGUUCACCACAUCUAUACCUGCCAAUAUCCGUCCUUGAGUUCCAUAUUAUCACAGUCUUAUCAGCUGAAGCUUGACGCUCAUUGUUGUGGCUUUCUGUGCAAAUUGUGUAAAUUGGUGGAAGGUAAUACUACCAUAUCCUUGCUCACUGGUAAAGUCAGUCAAUGUUGUUGACCUCAGUGGUGUAUCAGAUCUUAGAACUCUUUUUGUGUCUGAUAAAAUUAAUUGAUUUUCAAGUUGCAUUACUUUAUUUCUCACUUUUUCAUAUUGAUUUUUGUAAAUAGCUUACAUUCAUUCUGAUUAAUCAAGUGUUGAUCAGUAACUUUUAUAUGGACUGGUAAAAUCUAAGCAGUGUUUUGAGAGCAGGGUGUAAUUUGUUAAUGUUACCACCCACCAAGAUGUAACCCAUCCACCCAUCCACAGAUGGACUAACAAGAGGAUAUCAACUUUAUACUCAUAAGGUGUCACCUGACCUAAUUUUUAGUUUGAAGAAAAGUAUUUGAACUAAUUUUGAAGUCAUUUGUAAGCAAAGAAAAUUAUAUCAGUAAUUAUGACCACAUACUAUCCAAUCAAUUUGUGGCCAGUUAUGUGCAAAAUUACAUUGAUAAUAAAAAUUAAGAAAUUAAAAAAAAAGGAAGUGAAGCACACUGUAUUUUGUGCCUUGUUUAUAGCCAUUGUAUUUUCUGUUUAUUGUAUACUGUCACAAUCUAGUUUUGCAUCUUUUGAAGAUUCUACCUUUGGAAUUCAUUAAUUUUCAUCUAGACAUAUUGGAACUCCUCCUGGGUAAGCCACACAUUCCACUUGUGUGCCUUCAAAUUUGUUGCGAGGUUUUCCAAAGUGUAUAUUUACCAAAGUUUGUGUUUUUCAUCUGAUUACUUGGUUUAACUUUUGAAAUUGUAACUCUUCAAUCUUCAGUUUUCUGUUGUGUAUAUACAACUCACAAUAUUACAAUAUAUCAGAGAGAUAAUGUAUUCCUGUAUAAUAUUAGUUUUACACACAAGAGAGUCUAGAAGUUGAGUGUAACAUGUCUGUCUUUGUGCUUGUGACAAUCGACUUCUGACAUGUUUGUCCAGUGUAAAAGCAAGUUGUUUAGUCUCUCAGAUGACCUUUACAGUUGAACCUCAUAUAUUUAGAAUUAUUUAAACAUUAAUUGGUUUUGUGAAAUUGGAAUGAUUACUUAUUUGUCUGGAUAGUGAGAGAUUGGUUAAAGUUUCUAGAUAUGUGAGGUAAUGCACUGAAUCCUUGCAGAAAAUAAUCGCAUGGAUUGAGCAAAACAGGUUAAUAAUUUAGUUACAAGUUCUGCAGUUUUGUAUUUUAUUUCUUGCUUACACCUGUUUGAAAAGAAAUAUUUUUUAAGAAAGUCUGUAUUGUCUGGUUCUGAUAACAUUUCACAAAAUUAAGGUAACAGUUCAUGUAAUACAAGUGUACCAUUUAUUUUUAUUAGAAUUUGACUAAGUUACUGUAAUUGAUCUAACUGUGUCAUGGUUUAUGUGAACCUAUAAAGGAGAUGAAAUUUUGUGUCAUUGUUCUGCUUUUUAGAGCUUUAAGUAUUGAACAGGUUUGAAGAUCUUUCGUGGUUUGUUCUCUCAUGUAGAGCAUCUGAUGUAACAUAGUUGGAAUAAUUAAUUCAAUGUAGGCUUAGUAAUUGAAUAGUAAAUUGGACUUAUUCAUUGUUAAGUUUUAAGGAUUUGCCAUCAAUUACCUUUAGAUCAAGCUGUUUAUGGCCAUGAGUGUUUUUUCUUUGUGGCUCUUGAUUUUUACAGAUUUUUUAAAGAUAAUCAUGGAAAAUGUACACUUUAAAUGAUAUGGGAAACUAA